GCCGAGGUAGCUCAGCCUGGUUAGAGCGCUGGACUCAUAAUCCAGAGAUCCGGGGUUCGAAUGAAAACUCCGAAAAGCCCCGCCUCGGCA
rnacentral:tRNA from 1 species